UUUGGGACAGUGCUGUGGCAUUCCUGGCAGCCCUCAGCUGAAAUAUUUGGAAUUGUGGAAUAUUUGGCUGUUUCACAUCUCAGAGGUGGCUGUUCUAAGCCUCCUCCAGCCUGUGGACAGGCUCCUGUGUCUGAGCCCACAGCUUUGUGUGGUGGUGAUGGGGAGCCUUGAGAGCCUGUAGAGCAUCAGAGUACACAAGGGACUACCUGACAUUGUCCUGCAGCAGAUUUACUGCUUGGAAGAUGUGUAUAUACAGAAGAGAAGAGGAAAAAAAUAUAUAAUUGAAGAUCUAUUCUAAAAUGAGAGGCAUCUGAUUUUCUGACUUUUUUUAAAAAAAAUCCCUUUGCCUUGUUUUUUUGGAAAGGCCAUUUCUCUUUUUGUAGCAUCUAUUUUUAAACAGUUGAAUUAAAAUUAAUUAUUUCAUGUCUGCAAUAACCCUUUUUGCACAGAGACCUGUCUGCAAGAGUCAUUGAUUUCCUCUCUGUGUGUUCACCAGCUGCAGAACCAGUGCUUCAUCUUUUAAUCUCCAAUAUGAAAGGAACAACAGAGGUCACUGUGGACUUGUAUUCUUCAAAGUGAUUAAGGCAGAGCUGAGAGAGCUGGCAACAAGGCCAGCCUGCUCUUCAUUUAACAGACCCCAUGAUGAGAAACAGUCCAAAGGACUUCCAGUAACGGGGGACACAGGAAUAAAGAAAAAAAAUUAUACUGUAAGUUAUUUUCACACUAUUUAACCACUCCAGUCUGCUGUUUGCAAAGCAAAUACCUUCAUUCUUGGACCUUCACGUUCACUUGGACUUUCAAAGA
rnacentral:lncRNA from 1 species